UAGGGAAUCUUCGGCAAUGGACGAAAGUCUGACCGAGCAACGCCGCGUGAGUGAAGAAGGUUUUCGGAUCGUAAAACUCUGUUGGUAGAGAAGAACGCUGGUGAGAGUGGAAAGCUCAUCAAGUGACGGUAACUACCCAGAAAGGGCGGCUAACUACGUGCCAC
rnacentral:rRNA from 1 species